GUUCAAGCAAAUUUCCUCAUUACAACGAAGCUUUUUACGAUAUUCUGUUUUGCUGCUCAGUCAUUCACUGGUUGAAUCGAAAAGAAAAGAUCAAAUUUCUUGACAUGGCAUUUAGAUGUUUGAAGCCCGGGGGGAAGUUGGCCAUUAUAAGUGCAGAAAAAAAUCCUGAAAUGUUCCUACGAGUUCCAGAAAUGAUGCCUGAUCAAUCGUUCGCCAUUUCUGCCGAUUCGAAAAUCAGAAGCAGAAUCAAUGUCCGAGCAAGCUAGCGGGGUUUGUUGUUUUAUGGAGCGAGCUAUUCCAAUACUGACGAGUAUACAUUUCCAAGUUUGGUUUAUUUCUUAACUUGGUGUAGCUCGUCUCUUUAUCUUGACGAGAGCAAAAUUUUGCCAGAUAAAAAAGAUGAA